AACCGGGGCUAAUACCGGAUAACAUUUUGAACCGCAUGGUUCGAAAUUGAAAGGCGGCUUCGGCUGUCACUUAUGGAUGGACCCGCGUCGCAUUAGCUAGUUGGUGAGGUAACGGCUCACCAAGGCAACGAUGCGUAGCCGACCUGAGAGGGUGCUCGGCCACACUGGCACUGAGACACGGCCCAGACUCAUACGGGAGGCAGCAGUAGGGAAUCUUCCGCAAUGGACGAAAGUCUGACGGAGCAACGCCGCGUGAGUGAUGAAGGCUUUCGGGUCGUAAAACUCUGUUGUUAGGGAAGAACAAGUGCUAGUUGAAUAAGCUGGCACCUUGACGGUACCUAACCAGAAAGCCACGGCUAACUACGUGCCAGCAGCCGCGGUAAUACGUAGGUGGCAAGCGUUAUCCGGAAUUAUUGGGCGUAAAGCGCGCGCAGGUGGUUUCUUAAGUCUGAUGUGAAAGCCCACGGCUCAACCGUGGAGGGUCAUUGCAAACUGAGAGACUUGAGUGCAGAAGAGGAAAGUGGAAUUCCAUGUGUAGCGGUGAAAUGCGUAGAG
rnacentral:rRNA from 1 species